rnacentral:rRNA from 1 species
UGGGGAAUAUUGCACAAUGGGCGCAAGCCUGAUGCAGCCAUGCCGCGUGUGUGAAGAAGGCCUUCGGGUUGUAAAGCACUUUCAGCGGGGAGGAAGGCGUUAAGGUUAAUAACCUUGUCGAUUGACGUUACCCGCAGAAGAAGCACCGGCUAACUCCGUGCCAGCAGCCGCGGUAAUACGGAGGGUGCAAGCGUUAAUCGGAAUUACUGGGCGUAAAGCGCACGCAGGCGGUCUGUCAAGUCGGAUGUGAAAUCCCCGGGCUCAACCUGGGAACUGCAUUCGAAACUGGCAGGCUAGAGUCUUGUAGAGGGGGGUAGAAUUCCAGGUGUAGCGGUGAAAUGCGUAGAGAUCUGGUGGAAUACCGGUGGCGAAGGCGGCCCCCUGGACAAAGCCUGACGCUCAGGUGCGAAAGCGUGGGGAGCAAACAGG